rnacentral:rRNA from 1 species
UACAGAGGUCCCGAGCGUUGUUCGGAUUCACUGGGCGGAAAGGGUGCGUAGGGGGUGAGGGAAGUUUGAUGUGAAAUCUCCGGGCUCAACCCGGAAAUGGCAUUGAAUACUAUCUUGCUAGAGGAGUGGAGGGGGGACUGGAAUACUUGGUGUAGCAGUGAAAUGCGUAGAUAUCAAGUGGAACACCAGUGGCGAAGGCGAGUCCCUGGACACUUCCUGACACUGAGGCACGAAAGCUAGGGGAGCAAACAGG